UCAUGUGUGUGUUCUGGUCGUGAUUUACACAGGAGCCAAAAAGGGUUUUUAUCAAAACCCUAAAUCACAAGAAAUUCAGCCAAAUCAAGGGAAAUCAAGCUAGGAAAUUGGGGCUUUUAAUAAAUUAGUGAUCACCAAACCUAGGGGAUCACAAGUGUUAUGAUUUUGACGCCUAACAAGCUAGGUGGAAGCUUGUGGAUGAAGCGGGUCAAACGGAGCGCGUACGGAAAGAAAGGCGUGGCAUGGAUGCAAGGUAAGUAUAGCUUACACUAGUCUUAUAUGUUAGGAUAUUCUCUUAUCGUAUUAGUUAUGAAUGAGAUAAAUACAUAAUUGAGGUAUGAUGUUCCGGCGUGUAAACGUACGGAACAAAGUAGUCAAUCAUGACAAGAAACCAUGUGGAUGGUUAAAAGGAGUUAAAUCGGUAAAUUGGUCAUGCGUUGACCAUAACUAUUGGUUUUGAAAGACACAGUAAAACAUAAACCAUGAUAGGCUAAAAAGUGUUAAGAAAAGUGAAAUGACCGCACGAUGUAAACCGGAGCGAGUCAUGUAGAUGAGAUGGUAAUAAAUAUCAUCUCGUCAACAUAUUCGGUCACUUAGACCAAAUGGGUUAAAAGGUGAAGAUAUCACCCUUUGACAAUAACGACUAAUGAUUUUUGUCGAGUUAUAUUAUUUCAGGUGUAAAUGUCAAAUGGGUAUUAGCAACGCUAUGAAUUAGCGGUUAUAAAAGCAAGGUAUUAAAAACGGGUCAAUAUAUUGAUCUGCGCCAGGUAUGUGAAAAAGGGUAACCCUCAUUUAGAACAUGUGGUUCAAAGAGUGUUAAAAUUAGUCAAGGUGAACAUUUGGUUACUUGAUAAGUAAACCAAAUGUUUUAGGUAAGGAACAUUGUAUUUGGAAAGCUUAAUGACUUUUCAAAUAAAAUCAUAGGUUAAAAGAGGGAUUACGGGUCAAAAUAAGCAUACGAGUGAAAACGGGUUUAAAUUGUGUAAUAAACCUGUGAUUAUAACCUAAUAUGGUAAAUAACCUUAAUUUGAAGUAGUGUACGUGAUAUAAAGGUUAAACAAGUAUGUUUGUUUGAUAAACGUAUAAACGGGUCAAAAUUUUGGUAAAAGAGUAAUAAGCCGAAGACUUAAAAGUCUUAAAUUUUAUUAAUCCGGAUGUUGGAUUUUAACUCCAUAUGAUGGAAGAUUAAAUUACAAUCAUGUAGGAAGAAACGGUAGAUCAAACGGAUAAGCAGUUUGAAAGAUACGAAAGUUUUCGUGUCGAAUAACGGCAAAAAUAGAGAAGCUGGAUGCAGAGUCCACCGUAAUUUACGGUCCCACCGUAAAUUACGGUGGAGAUGAAUUGGUUACGGUGCUAAUUGUCUGUUGUACGGUAGAAGAAUAGAAACCCAGGGGCCACCGUAAUUUACGGUCCCACCGUAAAUUACGGUGGAGAUUAUUUUUUUUUAUAUUUUGUUUUCAUUUGAAAAUCAAUUGUUUCCCGGACAUCGUUCGGACAUGAUUUAAACCCCGUAUGACUAAAGCAUUUCAUGUUUAUGAAAUGUAGGUACACCUUGGACGCCGGAAGACGAUCAAGCUCAGCGAAGAACCGGACACGAUAAUGAUACACGCUUCCGCACUUUGCUACGUUGUAAUUUUUAAACAACGAAUUCGAUCACGAUAUGUAGAAUAACUUAUGAUUUAUAAAAGUUUUAAUAAACCCGUAUUUCCAAAUGUUUAUGUAAUCUUAAUUACAUGAUUGUUUUACGUAAAAUUUACGUUAAACCUUGAAUAAUAAGACCGGGUGUUACAUGUUGGUAUCAGAGCCUUGGUUUAAGAGAUUCGAGUAUGGUGGGGAGGAACCAUGCUUGGACUUAAACCUUAUGCUCUUGACAAAGAAUAGUGUUCGGUUCGAGGCUUGAUCGCAAAUCCGGUAAGUACAAGUACGUGAAUAGUUAGUAUGCUAAAGUGUUGUAAACAACACAUAGGGCUAUCGUGUGAUACGCGUUACCCCAAUUAAAAUGAUUGAAAUAGUUGACGAAAAUACGCGCGUUGACGCGUGUAGUAGAAAAAGCCUUGUAUUAUAAUACGGGCGAUUAUUGCGGUUGACGUUACUAACUUUUGUGAAUGUUUUAAAUUGAAGGACACUCGCGUUUGAAGACGACGAGAGUCAAACGAAUUGUGGAUAUGAUGAUGGAACGGUCCGAAGUAUGACAAGAGGAGCAUACUCACCGAGGACUAAAUCGCGUAAUGACCGCGAACAAGGUUAAUGGCAAAGAACGCCCGUCGGGGAAAACAUUACCAGGUGCACAUUUUAAAUAAUAGCAUAGAUAGUAAUAUGCAACAAUAAGUAGGAACUUAAAAGUUGCAUAUGU
rnacentral:lncRNA from 1 species